rnacentral:sRNA from 1 species
ACAAGGGAGCCUCCCCAACUGUGGCCAUGGAGUCUGGGAGGCUGUGGCGUGCUGGGUGUCGGCAUCUGGCUGGCCGCCACACAGGGGAGCUUCGCCACGCUGUCCUCUUCCUUCCCGUCCCUGUCGGCUGCCAACCUACUCAUCAUCACCGGCGCCUUUGUCAUGGCCAUCGGCUUCGUGGGCUGCCUGGGUGCCAUCAAGGAGAACAAGUGCCUCCUGCUCACUGUGAGUGCCGGGGCCCAAGCGAUGCUCCGGGUGGGACCACGCAGGGUGGGGCUCCGGUGGUCCCCAGGCCUUGGCUGCUGCAGUGACCCCCCAGACGUGGGCACCACCUCUGGGGCCUGACCUCCAGGCUGGCAGUGUGGCCCGGGGCCCUGGCCACUGUUGGGUCUUCCAGGCUACACUGGGGCUGGGGGGUGAUUUGCAGAGCGGUGUGGGGGUCACUCAAGAGAACGUGCUGUACCUUGUCAGGGGCCUCCCCUGACGGGACACUGGCCCUGGUGAGUGCAGGCACAGCCCCACACACACGUACACACGCGUGCGCAGCCUUUCACGGGCUUGCAGUCUCCAUGACUCAUUCCUGACCACCCCACCCCCACUGUGGCCCCUUCCCCAGCUUCUUGUUGGGGGCCUGGUCUCUCAGCUCUCUGGGACCGUCUGCUGGGACCCUCCCAGCCCCCACCUCGCCUCGGGGAUGGACUUACAGGCAGGGAUAUGUUUAUCCUCCUUAGAAAUGUUAAUCACAGAUAAUUAAAAAGGAAAAGGGCUCCUAGAUGGAAACACAGGCUUGCUACUGAUUAACAUGCCUCGCCGAGGCCGUGGGCCCUGCGGGGGGUGUGCAGCCUGCUGAGGUCCUAAAUCACGAGGCUUCCGAUCACUCCUUUGUCUGGGAAGCCCUGGAUGGGGUGGGGCCUCCCUUAGGUCGCCUCAGCCAGUCCACUCCCCUCCGUACCCCUUCCUGGGGGCAAGCCCCAAGUCUAUCAGCCUCCCUGGCAUCAGGUUGGGGCCCAGAGACCCCUGGAGGCAGUCGGUGGGGGUCUGUGGCAGCCCUGCUGGGGCUUGGAGCUCCUCAAACAGUUGAGGAAGCUGCUGUGUGUGGGCCCCACCAGGCCUGCAGGGACCAAAGCCCAACCCCCUUUCCCAUGGGUGACUUGGGACCAGAACCCUGGGUACCUCCUGGGGGUGAAGGACUCCUGUGUCCUUAGCCCAGCACCCUGUCUGCCCCACUCACGCCCACUCUGCCUGGGCCCCCCAGCUCCUGGACACACACUGUCCAUGCCUGCCCUCCUCUUUUGUGGGUGUCACUGACCCCCGCAUGGAGGAGCAGCAGGGCUGGGGUCAGGCUGAGCUUCGGGGCUGCCGCCAGGCGGGGGAAGCUUGCACGGUCAGAGGUGGGGCUGGCAGCCUGUGGUCUUGCUGGAGGGGGCAUCAGCCACGCUGGCUGCCCUGAGGACUGUGACGUGUGGGCAGAGGGGGCCUCUGCAGCCCAGCUGUGGCUCCUGCUGGGGCAUCUUCCCACCAUGAAGACAGGCACCCAGCGAGGCACCUGCCAGACACUCAGAGGCCCCUGGAUGGAGGUGUCCUGAAGGCAGCUAACAGGGGCUGGGGCCUCAGGAACAGGGACUUGUGCCCACUUGGGGGUGUCUGGGUUGCCCCAGGGAUGGGGGCAGGGGAAGGGAGCCCAGGCCAGCCCAGGGCCCCACACUCAGGGGCUGAGCAGGACAUAACAGCCACAGUCCCUGGACCUGGGGCCAAGGGUUCUGAGGUGGGGGCGGCGUUCUGGGCUCUCUGGGAGUGGGGGCCUGGCAGAGGUUUCUUGGCAGCACCAGGUAUCCAUGAGGUACGUGGCCCUGGCCCGCUAUGGGGCGGAGGCCUGGGGCCUUUCGGGUCCCCGUCUGAGCCUGCCCCCUCCACAGUUCUUCCUGCUGCUGCUGCUGGUGUUCCUGCUGGAGGCCACCAUCGCCAUCCUCUUCUUCGCCUACACGGACAAGAUUGACAGGUAUGCCCAGCGAGACCUGAAGAAAGGCUUGCACCUGUACGGCACGCAGGGCAACGUGGGCCUCACCAACGCCUGGAGCAUCAUCCAGACCGACGUGAGGCGUGGGCAGGUGGGCGGGGUCGGCGGGUGCCCCCUCCCCUCCUGCCUCAGCCCGACCUGAGCUUGCCCCCCAGUUCCGCUGCUGUGGCGUCUCCAACUACACUGACUGGUUCGAGGUGUACAACGCCACGCGGGUACCUGACUCCUGCUGCUUGGAGUUCAGUGAGAGCUGUGGGCUGCACGCCCCCGGCACCUGGUGGAAGGCGCCGUGCUACGAGACGGUGAAGGUGUGGCUUCAGGAGAACCUGCUGGCUGUGGGCAUCUUUGGGCUGUGCACGGCGCUGGUGCAGAUCCUGGGCCUGACCUUCGCCAUGACCAUGUACUGCCAAGUGGUCAAAGCAGACACCUACUGCGCGUAGGCCGCCCACCGCCCGCUUCUCUGCCAAAAGGACGCCCACGGGGAGAUGGCCGCACCCACAGCUGCCUUUCCCACCACCAGCCUCGGUGCUCUGCCCCAUGCUGGGAGGAGGGAGGGAGGGACAGGUGCCUGGAGCCCCCGGAACCCUGUUUCUGGAAGGCCCUGGCUCAGGUGGCUUCAGGGCCUCCGGACCCCCCCCCCCGGGAGGGGUGGCCACGUGCUCGCUGCGGAACCCAGGGCAGGGGUGGGAGGGGCCUCCAGCACUUUUUAUAUUUACGUAUUCUCCAAAGCAGUGUUCACACGGGAGCCAGCCUGUGGCCCCCAGCCUCCUGGGAAACGGGUUGGUGCUGGAGGAGCCGGGUCUUGGCAUCCUGGAGGUGGCCCCACUGGUCCUGGUGCUCCAGGCGGGGCCGUGGACCCCUCACCUACAUUCCAUAGUGGGCCCGUGGGGCUCCUGGUGCAUCUUAAUAAAGUGUGAGCAGC